rnacentral:rRNA from 1 species
AGAGUUUGAUCCUGGCUCAGGACGAACGCUGGCGGCGUGCUUAACACAUGCAAGUCGAACGAGGCAGCGGCCUUCGGGCCGUUGUCGAGUGGCGAACGGGUGAGUAACACGUGAGGAACCUGCCCCGGAGACCGGGAUAACCAGGGGAAACUCUGGCUAAUACCGGAUGCCCCCGGAUGGUCGCAUGGCCAACCGAGGAAACGCUCCGGUGCUCCGGGAGGGCCUCGCGGCCUAUCAGCUUGUUGGUGGGGUAACGGCCCACCAAGGCAUCGACGGGUAGCUGGUCUGAGAGGACGAUCAGCCACACUGGGACUGAGACACGGCCCAGACUCCUACGGGAGGCAGCAGUGGGGAAUAUUGCGCAAUGGGCGAAAGCCUGACGCAGCAACGCCGCGUGGGGGAUGAAUGCCUUCGGGUUGUAGACCCCUUUCAGCAGGGACGAAAAUGACGGUACCUGCAGAAGAAGCCCCGGCCAACUACGUGCCAGCAGCCGCGGUAACACGUAGGGGGCAAGCGUUGUCCGGAUUUAUUGGGCGUAAAGAGCUCGUAGGCGGUNGCGUAAGUCGGAUGUGAAAACUCAGGGCUCAACCCGG